rnacentral:misc_RNA from 1 species
CGUGGCACCUAGUGGCGUUCCGUGCCCCGCGGUCUAAGGAAAAUGUGUGCUUGUUUAUAGUCAGUGUGAGAUCAGUGUGAAAAAUUACAUAGAAUGAGGACUUUUUUGUGGUCAAGAUUCAAAAGAUAUGAAUUAAAACACAAAAAAUAACUUCAUCAACGUAAAAGAAAACGGACAUUUCAACCUCCAAAGCUAAUAACAGUGAACAUUGAACACGGAACAGCAGCGCAACGAGAACCAUCAGGCAUUACUUUGUGAAUUAACGAAAGAAAGAUCGAAAAAUCAAGGGAAGAGAUAAGUGAAAAAAAGGAAACAAAAAGAAAGAGGAAAGAGAGAGAGAGCGAAAAAAAGAUUCAAACGAAGAAGGAAACAGAAAAAGGGAAGAGACAA